UAUAAAAAAAAAACACAUUCCCGUUCCAUUACGACCUUUGAAUUCCAUGAAAUCCAAAUAUAGUAUCACUGGCUGGUCCGACCUUUGUAGUUUUAACUACAAUGUCUAGCUUUCCCUUAACAUAACAAAAUGUUCUCUAUAAUCCAAAAGAAGCGCUUGAGUAAAAAAGAUUUCUGAUUAAAUAGGUCUUAGGAUAGUACAGUGAGUGCCCGCGGACAGUCGAAAACAUUGAGGAGAAAAAUAAUCUAUCGACACGUCAUUCGCAAAACAUCUAUUCUGGAUACAAGUUAAUGUUCUUUACCGGUCGAUUAAUUCCCAAGAUUGCCUCGGGGAAAAAGUCGCCGAUGCAGCUAAUUACCAAAACACGUCCAUUCAGCAACCGUAAAACGAUUUGUGAUCAAAACACGUUUACAGAUCACGCAUAGAUACAGUAGUGCGUGCCUAAAAUAGCAGAAACAACGACUAUAUGGCACAAAAACAGUAGGAAAGGAAACACGCCUCGAUUUAUACAAUUACAAAAGAAAAGACACGUAUUAAAGAGAAGAUAAAAAACAGCAACAAAAUGAGUCCUAGUAUAGAAAAACAGUCCAAAUACGUCUAUCGGUGUUAUUUGGUUGUACAUAUGACACUAAAAAAACCAUAACACAUUAAGUAAUCUUAACGAGUAUCAUUUAGUGAGAAGCACGCCUGAACCCUUCUACAGACGAUACUGAGCAUGUGUUUACGAAAAGCAAAUGGAUCGCCGAGAUUCACUUGGAGGACUUAAUUACUGAAUUGAUUGCCAAGAGAUGCGAGCUCGCUGAUGUGCUCUUCACGUUCAAACAUCUCAGUACAUGACCACCAAACACAUGCAGCUAGAUGACGUUACACGCCCGAAAUUUGCUAAUAGGUUUCCGAUGUCUUGUAGUGAGUAACUAAUUACAUGGCAAUGGUAAACAGCCGUACAUGUUUUCGUAAGAUUGCACGUGCGUAUUGGUUAAUCUAACUUGCCAGUAGAAAGGGGUGAUAGAACCCACAGGCGAAGUGUCAUCCACGUCGCUCUGUUGUUUAAAAAAAACUGUACAUCGUUUUAUUUACAACACGUACUUGUCAGGAGUGUCAGCAAACUAAUAAGGGCGGCAUGUUUAUAACUGAUGUUUCCACUAACACGAUCAACAUGAUAUACAGACUAAAUAAACGAACUUUCGCCUUGCA